AGUUUAAUAUUAGCAGCUAAUAAGUUAAAACAGUUUAAUAAACACUAUACAAAACAUUGUUAGAUUCAGUAAAGGUGAUUGAAAUUUAAUGUUCUGCAUGAAUAUAGUACUGCGAAGGAAAGAUUAGAACUGGAAAUUAGAAGUGAUAGAAUCAUGUACCUUUUGCAUCAUGGCUUAACUAGAUUAGGCCCUAAAUUGGAAAUCUCGAAACUUAAUGAGCUAUCUUCGUUCAGUUUUAUAGACUUGUAGUAGUUGGUUGUGGCAAAAACUUCUUGAGAAUCGAAGAUAGAUAUGAAAUUUUAUCCGCAUUGAGUGAUAGCUAGUUCUUUCUUAAAAACAUAUUAGUGUUGCGGGUCAAGUCCCAAAUGUUGUAAAUUUGUAUUUAUACUAUUUAUUGAUGGCCUAAUUAAAUUUUCGAGGAUAAGCUCGAAAAGAUAAAGUUUGCAUCUGAUUUUUUUUGAAAUAUAAGUUUAGUAAUGGCUAUUAGCAAGAGAAUUUGUUAUAAUUCAUUAUUUAGAUAUCAAUAUGAUUUAUUUGCUUAAAAUGAAAGAAAGAAAUUUUAGCAACCUAAAUAUAAAGUGAUUAUAUGUUAAGAUGAGUAUUAACCUAAUUUCUAGAAAAAUCUAAUAAGUUAAAGUUUGGAUCUAAAUGAAAGAUCUUAAGAUAAAAUCAUGAAAAGGAACUCGGCAAAAACGUAUUCUGCCUGUUUAUCAAAAACAUGGCUUCGUGUCAAUUCUUAAAUACGAAGUCGGACCUGCCCAGUGAGUUUUAAACGGCCGCGGUACUCUGACCGUGCAAAGGUAGCAUAAUCAUUUGCCUUAUAAUUGAAGGCUGGAAUGAAUGGUUUGACAAGAAUACAUCUGUCUCUUUUUGAUUAUCUAGAAUUUUAUUUUUGGGUGAAAAAGCCCAAAUUUUAUUAAAAGACAAGAAGACCCUAUCGAGCUUUAGAGAAAUUAGUAGAAUUUAAAUAAGUCAAUAUUAAUAUAAGAAAAACUACUAAAUACUUUGGUUGGGGCAACCGAGGAGUAAAUAGAGCCUCCUUUAUUUUAUUAAUCAUGCUUGUGUUGAUCCAAGUGUAUUGAUCAAAGGAAUUAGUUACCGUAGGGAUAACAGCAUUAUCUUUUUUAAGAGCCCAUAUCGAAAAAAAGGUUUGUGACCUCGAUGUUGGACCAGAAUAUCCUAAAGAUGCAGAAGUCUUUAAAGGUUGGUCUGUUCGACCAUUAAAAUUCUACGUGAUCUGAGUUCAGACCGGCGUGAGCCAGGUCAGUUUCUAUCUUUAUAUUUUUUGGCUAUGCUCAGUACGAAAGGACCGGUGUAGCGUAUUAGAUACUACAAUUAGAUUAAGUAUAAUUAAACUUUAAA
rnacentral:rRNA from 1 species